AGCUCGCGAUGCUAUUUAAACGGGAGGGAAGCGCGAGACUACGGUGGCCGAGAAAGCCCAGCGCAGUGCAAAUUGAAAAGCGCUGCAAAAGCACAAAACACAUCCAUCAAAAUUACAACACAGGCACAGCAAAUAGAAAAACGCGCUGCAACUAGAAAAACGCGCUGCAAAUAGAACCACAACACAACGGAAGUGAGUCACAACACAACGGAAUUUUCCCGGGGGACCUUAAAAGAUGCUGUACCAGCUGUAUACAAAGGACAAUAAGUGGCAAACAAGCUUCUGAAAAGUAAGUUAUGUUUAUUAAAAGUUCUGCUUCACAAAACGCCUUGUUUGCCACUUAUUGUCCUUUGUACACAUAGUGAAGUCCGAGACGUUACUGAAGACGCAGCUUAGCUGGUACAGUAUCUUUUAAGGUCCCCCGGGAAAAUUCCGUUGUGUUGUGACUCACUUCCGUUGUGUUGUGGUUCUAUUUGCAGCGCGUUUUUCUAUUUGCAGCGCGUUUUUCUAGUUGCAGCGCGUUUUUCUAUUUGCUGCGCCUGUGUUGUAAUUUUGAUGGAUGUGUUUUGUGCUUUUGCAGCGCUUUUCAAUUUGCACUGCGUUGGGCUUUCUCGGCCACCGUACGAGACGCACCUGAGUGUCGAAAACAAAACAGAAUAAAAAGAUGAAGAAGAAAGAAAACACAAAUAAAAUGCGAUCAGUUAGAGGGAAAAAACGCGGAGAGACGAAGGGAUGACGCAGAGCAUCUGUUCUUUAUUUCUCUGUUUAAUUUCCAUUUUUUUCGUGUGAUCAUCUGCAUUUUCCGAAUGAAGGGCACGCGGGGCUACUGAACAGUGUGCUAAUGGAAGGGUCGCACACCCCACUCCACCCCCAUGUAGGUGCACGUGCCUCCGUCAGACUCUUAACUCUGUCCCAUCACGGCCACGUGUGAGUGAAUCAACACACACCGCGACCUGCUCUGUGCCUUUGGUCCUUUGUCCGGGGAGAGAAAGCGAAAGACGGGAAGGCUCUAAAGUUAACAGCAUGCUGGAUGGCCCAUACACACACACGCCUGCACACGCGCGAGCCCAUACACACACAAACACCCUUUACAUAGUUAAUUAGUCAAGAUUCCAAUAUACAAAUUAACAAAACUGAUCUCUGUUU
rnacentral:lncRNA from 1 species